AUGGCGUCCUCCGGCGGCGGGCGCUCACCUGCGGCGGUGGUCUUAGACGACCUUGUGGAUGUUCGCGACCGCGUGGCGAUGCUGCAGACCGUGCUGCAGGAGUCUUCGCCUGGGGCGACCGUGGAGGCCGGGGAGCUGGUGGAGGGGAUGAUGGCCAAGCUGUCGAGCGCCCUGUCGGUUCUCGGCACCGGUGAUGGUGGCGUGGCGUCUUCGUCGGGGCCAGGUCGAGGACCGGGCGGGAGGAGGAAGAGGUCGGGCACUGCGUCGUCCGGGCCGCACCGCCGGAGCAGCUCGAGGAGAAGGAUGAAGAGCCCUCUAAUCAGGACGGUCACCGCUACGACGCUCACAGAUGGCAAGUCAUGGAGGAAGUACGGGCAGAAACAGAUAAACGACUCUACUAACCCGAGGAGCUACUACAGGUGCACGCAUUUGCCAGAUAAGGGCUGCAAGGCCAAGAGGCACGUCCACGUAUCCGAGUCCAACCCGUCGGAGUACACCAUCGACUACUAUGGCCAGCACACCUGCAGGGAUCCCUCCACAUUUCCAUCACUCAUCGUCCAAGGGGCCGCCGACGCUGCCCCGCCGCCGGACUGUGCAAACCUCAUCAGCUUCGCGCCCAUCAAUGGAGCCAACCGCGCUUUCACUGCCAGCACGAGCACGAGCGCUUUUUCUCAUCAUCUCAUGAAAGAAGCGGCUGAUCAUCAUCCUAUGCUCUUCUCCCGCUUCUCCAACCACAGCUCCUCUCCGCCAGCUCAGGAGGGCGUGUCCAGCGACUCACCGUCGCCGGCUUGCCACAGCAAGUACAUGCAGUACGCCGGCGGGCAGUUCAUCAACGUUACUGGCAUAAGGACAUCGCCGUUGACUGUGGGAUCAGCGCCGGCGGAGUACUGGCCGGUGGUGGAGGUCACCGGCGUCGACAGUGCUGUCGCAGGCAUGGACAGCUUCCCUUCCUCCCCGAGCAGCCUCGGGUUCAUGUCGGGCUCGUUGGAGGGAUCAUUUGGCAAUAACGUUUACGACGACGACCUGUUCAGCUUUGAUUCCUGA
rnacentral:rRNA from 1 species